AAUAGAUACCCGGGUAGUCCACGCCGUAAACGAUGGAUACUAGCUGUUGGAGGUAUCGACCCCUUCAGUAGCGAAGCUAACGCGUUAAGUAUCCCGCCUGUGGAGUACGGUCGCAAGACUAAAACAUAAAGGAAUUGACGGGGACCCGCACAAGCGGUGGAUCGUGUUCUUUAAUUCGAUGCUAAACGAAGAACCUUACCAGGGUUUGACAUCCCUUGAAUUAAUCCGAAAGGAUUGAGUGCUUUAUUGAACAAGGUGACAGGUGAUGCAUGGCCGUCGUCAGCUCGUGUCGUGAGAUGUUUGGUUAAGUCCAUCAACGAGCGCAACCCUUGCAAGUAGUUGUAUUUUUCUACUUGGACUGCCCCGGUAACGGGGAGGAAGGAGGGGAUGAUGUCAGGUCAGUAUUCCCUUACAGUCCUGGGCUAGAAACACGAUACAAUGGCUAGUACAAUGCGCAGCGAAGCCGCGAGGUGAAGCAAAUCGCAUCAAAGCUAGUCCCAGUUCGGAUUGGAGGCUGAAACUCGCCUCCAUGAAGUCGG
rnacentral:rRNA from 1 species